CAACAUGAUGAACGCUUUUUUAAAUAUACGCUGGAAAUUACCGUCCAAGGUCUUCGGAUCAUUGACGAUAACCAAUGGCUUUACUGAUC
rnacentral:snoRNA from 1 species